GCUUCAUCAGCCACUAAGCCGACUCCGGCUCCGACCAAUCAGUUCCGAGUCCCGCAGCCAGGCCUCCCUUUGGCCACUUCCUGCUGAGAUAAAACCAUCAGCCACGGGCUCUGCCCCCCCCCCCCUGCCGGUGGAGACGGCGACCCGGUGAGGGGUGAUGGGGGAAGGCUGGCAGCAGGUGACAGCAGAGCGAGUUUCCCUCAGCAGUUAUCUGCUGAGCGAGUUCAUUCCUCCAAGAAGAAUCCACGUGGAAGCAGAGACUCAAGAAGAACUGCACAUCGUCUUUUCGCAUGCAGGUUUGGUCCAAGAACAGCAGAGUGAUGCCUUAUGGAUGAGACAUCAUGGCCGGUGCCCGGCAGCGUCAGAGCGAUGCCGGGGGGGUUCGACAGCUGUCAGUGAGUGUCCUGUAAAGAAGGUCUUACCAGCGUUGUAUCCCUGUAGUGCCCAGUCGAUUCUAGAGAUCCCCCGUGUACGGAACUCCUGCCUGCCUCCGACACCGACACCGCCUGCCCGAAUUCCUCUACAUUAAAGCUUAU
ensembl:lncRNA